AUUGAACACUGGCGGCAGGCCUAACACAUGCAAGUCGAGCGAGCGGCGGACGGGUGAGUACUGUAUGGGGACUGCCCGAUAGCGGGGGUUAAAUACUGGAAACGGUGGCUAAUACCGCAUACUAUCGGAUAACCCAUAUGGGAUUAGCUAGUAGGUGGGGUAAAGGCUCACCUAGGCGAAGAUCUCUAGCUGGUCUGAGAGGAUGAUCAGCCAAACUGGGACUGAGACACGGACCAGACUCCUACGGAGGCAGCAGUGGGGAAUAUGGCACAAGGGGCGCAAGCGUGAUUCAGACAUGCCGAGUGUAUGAAGGAGGGCUUAGGGCUGUAAAGUACUUUCAGCUGGGGGGCGUUACCCAAAGAGGAAGCGCCGGCUAACUCUGUGACAGCAGCCGCGGUAAUAC
rnacentral:rRNA from 1 species